rnacentral:sRNA from 1 species
AUGUACCACGCGUUCACUGCGGUUCCUGCGCGCCGUCCGCGCCCACCUGACAGCUGCUCGCUACGUUUUGUCAGCC